UUUUACAUUGUCAGUGUAUAUAAACUUUGUUGUUACACUAUCAGAUCAUCACCCAGAUAAUAACUACAUGUAACCAUUCAUAGAAAAUGAGAUUAACAACAUGAAAAAUACGACAAACAUUGCUAAUACAACAUGUUAAAAUAUACUACUAUAAUAUAUCAAUUGUAUAUAAGUUAAAGGGUUAACUACACUAAACACCCUUGUACUAUGAUUCAGUUACAAAUAGACCUCCUAUAUUUUGAAAUUAAAAACUUACAUCCGUUGUACUAUGAAAAACCCAUGCUUACACCCCACAUAGAGGACAAAAAAAAACAAUAAAGUGAUGAUAAAAUCAAUAACUUACCUUUGUAAACUCCUUCAUAGAUCUCAGGAAUUUCAGCAAGAUACUUAACAAUGAAUGUACAAGCAGAGCUAGCAGUGUCAUGACCACCAAUCAACAAACCUAAAAUCUUAUCAGCAAUAUCCAAUUCAUUCAUAAAUUUCCCAUUUUCAUCACUUGUCAAUAACAUA